rnacentral:rRNA from 1 species
CGUAGGCGGCCGAUUAAGUCGGGGGUGAAAGCCUGUGGCUCAACCACAGAAUUGCCUUCGAUACUGGUUGGCUUGAGACCGGAAGAGGACAGCGGAACUGCGAGUGUAGAGGUGAAAUUCGUAGAUAUUCGCAAGAACACCAGUGGCGAAGGCGGCUGUCUGGUCCGGUUCUGACGCUGAGGCGCGAAAGCGUGGGGAGCAAACA